rnacentral:rRNA from 1 species
UACCAGCUCUCCGAGUGGUGUGGAUGUUUAUUGGGCCUAAAGCAUCCGUAGCUGGCUGGGCAAGUCCCCUGUUAAAUCCACCGAUUUAAUCGUUGGUGUGCGGGGGAUACUGUUCGGCUAGGGGACGGGAGAGGCCGACGGUAUUUUCGGGGUAGGGGUGAAAUCCUAUAAUCCCGGGAAGACCACCAGUGGCGAAGGCUGUCGGCUAGAACGCGCCCGACGGUGAGGGAUGAAAGCUGGGGGAGCGAACCGGAUUAGAUACCCGGGUAGUCCCAGCUGUAAACGAUGCAGGCUAGGUGUUUGGGCGGCCACGUGCCGCUCUAGUGCCGCAGAGAAGUCGUUAAGCCUGCCGCCUGGGGAGUACGGCCGCAAGGCUGAAACUUAAAGGAGUUGGCGGGGAGCACCACAAGGCGUGAAGCUUGCGGUUC